rfam:Dipodomys ordii contig_27800, whole genome shotgun sequence.
GGUGGCUCAGUGGUAGAGUGCUUGCCUUGCAUGCAUGAAGUCCUGGGUUCGGUUCCUCAGCACCA